rnacentral:rRNA from 1 species
GACGAACGCUGGCGGCGUGCUUAACACAUGCAAGUCGAACGGAAAGGCCCUGCUUUUGUGGGGUGCUCGAGUGGCGAACGGGUGAGUAACACGUGAGUAACCUGCCCUUGACUUUGGGAUAACUUCAGGAAACUGGGGCUAAUACCGGAUAGGAGCUCCUGCUGCAUGGUGGGGGUUGGAAAGUUUCGGCGGUUGGGGAUGGACUCGCGGCUUAUCAGCUUGUUGGUGGGGUAGUGGCUUACCAAGGCUUUGACGGGUAGCCGGCCUGAGAGGGUGACCGGCCACAUUGGGACUGAGAUACGGCCCGGACUCCUACGGGAGGCAGCAGUGGGGAAUAUUGCACAAUGGGCGGAAGCCUGAUGCAGCAACGCCGCGUGCGGGAUGACGGCCUUCGGGUUGUAAACCGCUUUCGCCUGUGACGAAGCGUGAGUGACGGUAAUGGGUAAAGAAGCACCGGCUAACUACGUGCCAGCAGCCGCGGUGAUACGUAGGGUGCGAGCGUUGUCCGGAUUUAUUGGGCGUAAAGGGCUCGUAGGUGGUUGAUCGCGUCGGAAGUGUAAUCUUGGGGCUUAACCCUGAGCGUGCUUUCGAUACGGGUUGACUUGAGGAAGGUAGGGGAGAAUGGAAUUCCUGGUGGAGCGGUGGAAUGCGCAGAUAUCAGGAGGAACACCAGUGGCGAAGGCGGUUCUCUGGGCCUUUCCUGACGCUGAGGAGCGAAAGCGUGGGGAGCGAACAGGCUUAGAUACCCUGGUAGUCCACGCUGUAAACGGUGGGUACUAGGUGUGGGGUCCAUUCCACGGGUUCCGUGCCGUAGCUAACGCUUUAAGUACCCCGCCUGGGGAGUACGGCCGCAAGGCUAAAACUCAAAGGAAUUGACGGGGCCCCGCACAAGCGGCGGAGCAUGCGGAUUAAUUCGAUGCAACGCGUAGAACCUUACCUGGGUUUGACAUGGAUCGGGAGUGCUCAGAGAUGGGUGUGCCUCUUUUGGGGUCGGUUCACAGGUGGUGCAUGCCUGUCGUCAGCUCGUGUCGUGAGAUGUUGGGUUAAGUCCCGCAACGAGCGCAACCCUUGUUCACUGUUGCCAGCACGUUAUGGUGGGGACUCAAUGGAGACCGCCGGGGUCAACUCGGAGGAAGGUGGGGAUGACGUCAAGUCCUCAUGCCCCUUAUGUCCAGGGCUUCACGCAUGCUACAAUGGCUGGUACAGAGAGUGGCGAGCCUGUGAGGGUGAGCGAAUCUCGGAAAGCCGGUCUCAGUUCGGAUUGGGGUCUGCAACUCGACCUCAUGAAGUCGGAGUCGCUAGUAAUCGCAGAUCAGCAACGCUGCGGUGAAUACGUUCCCGGGGCU